rnacentral:misc_RNA from 1 species
AUAGAGGGUACGAUGGAGCCAUGUCAGAUAUCUGGUCAUGUGGCGUCAUCUUAUAUGUUAUUCUUGCAGGAUACCUUCCAUUCGAUGAUAGAAACAUCGCUGUUCUAUAUCAGAAGAUUUUCAAGGGAGAAACCAAGUUACCGAAAUGGCUUUCCCCCGGUGCACAGAAUUUGUUACGGAGAAUUCUUGAUCCGAAUCCGAAAACCCGAAUAAAUGUCGAUGGAAUAAGAGCAGAUAAUUGGUUUAACCAAAAUUACAUUCCUAUUGUUCCCUAUGAUGAUGAAGAUAUAAACAUAGAUGAUGUACCUUUCUCACUCAAAGAGUCUAAUGAAGCA